rnacentral:antisense_RNA from 1 species
CUUCAACGAGCCCAGCCACAGCGGCCGUUCCGGCGUGCGCUCGCGGCCGUAGGUGGCCAGCAGGGCCUGGGCCUC